rnacentral:rRNA from 1 species
GGCGUGUACUGCUUGGCUGGGCCUUACUUCUUGGUGAGCCGGCGUGCCCUUUAUUGGUGUGCGUCGGGGAACCAGGACUUUUACCUUGAGAAAAUUAGAGUGUUCAAAGCAGGCCUAUGCCUGAAUACAUUAGCAUGGAAUAAUAGAAUAGGACGUGCGGUUCUAUUUUGUUGGUUUCUAGAGUCGCCGUAAUGAUUAAUAGGGACAGUUGGGGGCAUUGGUAUUGAGUCGCUAGAGGUGAAAUUCUUGGAUUGACUCAAGACCGACUAUUGCGAAAGCAUUUGCCAAGGAUGUUUUCAUUAAUCAAGAACGAAGGUUAGGGGAUCGAAAACGAUCAGAUACCGUUGUAGUCUUAACAGUAAACUAUGCCGACUAGGGAUUGGAUGACCUCAAAAUUGAUGUGUCAUUUGGCACCUUACGAGAAAUCAAAGUCUUUGGGUUCUGGGGGGAGUAUGGUUGCAAGGCUGAAACUUAAAGGAAUUGACAGAAGGGCACCACCAGGUGUGGAGCCUGCGGCUUAAUUUGACUCAACACGGGGAAACUCACCAGGUCCAGACAUAACUAGGAUUGACAGAUUGAUAGCUCUUUCAUGAUUUUAUGGGUGGUGGUGCAUGGCCAUUCUUAGUUGGUAGAGUGAUUUGUCUGGUUAAUUCCGAUAACGAACGAGACCUUAACCUGCUAAAUAGCCAGGCCGGCUUCAGCUGGUCUCUGGCUUCUUAGAGGGACUGUCAG